GCGCCCGUAGCUCAGCUGGAUAGAGCGGUGGCCUCCGGAGCCACAGGUCGUGGGUUCAAAUCCCGCCGGGCGUACCA
rnacentral:tRNA from 1 species